rnacentral:rRNA from 1 species
CGAAACUGCCUGAUGGAGGGGGAUAACUACUGGAAACGGUGGCUAAUACCGCAUAACGCGCAAGACCAAAGAGGGGGACCUUCGGGCCUCUUGCCAUCAGAUGUGCCCAGAUGGGAUUAGCUAGUUGGUGAGGUAACGGCUCACCAAGGCGACGAUCCCUAGCUGGUCUGAGAGGAUGACCAGCCACACUGGAACUGAGACACGGUCCAGACUCCUACGGGAGGCAGCAGUGGGGAAUAUUGCACAAUGGGCGCAACUAAUG